rnacentral:lncRNA from 1 species
GCGGGACAGAAAGUCUGUGCGCGCCGUACUACCUUUUGGCACGCGAGAGACAAAGAAUGCUGUAGUGACGCGCACUCAACUUCAGCGUGUGUUCUCACGCGCACCGCCUCUUAGUUUAAAGACGCGACCAAAGAAGAAACCUGCAAUUCAACCUCACAUUGUAAAAAAAGUUUGGCUUCGGAAAACUUUAACCCGAGUCACGCGUCAAGAGUUGUAGACAAAGGGAAACUUCUCCUCGGGAUGUUAUGCGGAAUGCGUAAGGAUGGAAUCAACUGAAAACCCAAAGACACGUUUUGCAGGUGCAGAACACCCCUCACUUUAGGACCCCCUGUGAGCACCAGAUGUACCAGCUGUACCAAGAGAUCAUUACGGGAGCCUGGCCCAAGGGCAGAGAGAACAAGAGAGACCUCUUCAGACCUACUUCUGGAACCAAGGUUAGUCCCCCCGGUUAGUCUUGGGAUACGAACCUACGACCUUCAACUCUCAAAUGGGUCUUCUUUAGCCUCUGAGCUACCAACUAUAGCCACAGAGCAGGAAGUGGUGGAAGGAUGCUUUGCUGCGGUUUCUGACCUUGCUUGGUCAAAGGAGAGUAAUGGGCAAUUUUCAAAGGCCAAUAUGAGUUUUCCCUGUAGCCAAGGAUAGUCUUCUAUAACGCCUCUCGCUAUAGAUGGGAAAUCUUCCUUGCGUUGUAUUGUGUGUCCUUGUCAACCGUGGGAAGAUGCCGGUGGGGUUUCAGCAUUAAGAUGAGUUUCCACUACUCAUUCAGUACCUGUUGAGAUAAAUAGUAUCACAAGAAUAUUAUUACCAGGGCUACCAGGAGCCAGGUUGCAGGAUACCUGAUGCAUGUUUAUCAAAGAAAAUCAAUGUUUUCCUUAUCAAACUUUGAUAGACUAGUUACCACAUCAACUUUGAAUGUAUGAAAUUUAGGCCUUAGCUACAAUAUGGAGGUGGGCACUUCUUAUCAUACUAAAACACUUGACUGUAUUUUCUUUGGUACUUGAACGUAAUAUUAGCCAAUCAAACUGUUUUAUACAUAGUCCCACCAUUCUCUAUUUCGCCUUUGGUUAUGUUGGAUGUGUGUUGUACUGCAACAUUCAGUUUUAUUUGUACAGGUCUGGUCUUUCUUUUGUUGCCUUGAUACCAGCCUCAUUCCUGAAAAUAAAAGAGAUCCUCUAGAUGUUUGGAGAUGUUGGUUGGGCGGUUUUGAUACUCAGGAAACAAUGGGUGCAAAAUGAAUAUUUGUUUUUAUUUUGGAUUGUUUUGAAUACUAUCUGGAAAUAAAGGGGCCAGCAACUCACCACUUGGCUCCUCUGAGAAUAUGAGUGUACCAGUUUCUAUACUACAUCUUAAAGCUCUGCAUUGGAAGAACACUACCUUUGCAUUGUAUUUUUCUGUGCAUUACUCAAUAAACAGUUGAGAAUAUAAAGUGGUCUCUGGUCCAAACAUUUGUGGUGUGCCCACUUAUUUUACAUUGCGUUACAUUCUCAUUUUGUAUCUGUUUGCUCUAGUCUUAUGCUUUCUGUCUAGCAAACUCUGCCCCUGGCACUGCAAGCACGGCACUGCAGUCUUUUACAUUAUGACCAA